GCAGGCUCCACCGUAUUCUCAAGCAGGUUACAGGGACGGCAAGCUUUACGUCGAUGGCGUCUUCGGCCUCGUCCUAGAGGCCCUGGCCGACUUCGUCCCUUUCAGCUACGACAUCGUGUACGACCAUCGACUGUCGUUCGGAGUGCGUCUUCCCAAUGGCUCUUACACGGGCAUCAUAGGGCUCAUUCAAAGUGGGGCUGCAGACCUGGCCGCUGCCCCCGUGCUUGUUCGUUACGACCGCACCGAGGUGGCGACGUACGCGCCCGUCCUGUUCACCAGCCACUGCGUGCUCAUCGCCGUCGCAGGGGAGCCAGCCGUGAACGCAUUCAGCUACUUGUUUGUGUUCGACUGGGAGG